rnacentral:rRNA from 1 species
UAGAGUUUGAUCCUGGCUCAGAGCGAACGCUGGCGGCAGGCCUAACACAUGCAAGUCGAGCGCCGUAGCAAUACGGAGCGGCAGACGGGAGAGUAACACGUGGGAACGUGCCCUUCAGUUCGGAACAACCCAGGGAAACUUGGGCUAAUACCGGAUACGUCCGUAAGGAGAAAGAUUUAUCGCUGAAGGAUCGGCCCGCGUCUGAUUAGCUUGUUGGUGAGGUAACGGCUCACCAAGGCGACGAUCAGUAGCUGGUCUGAGAGGAUGAUCAGCCUCACUGGGACUGAGACACGGCCCAGACUCCUACGGGAGGCAGCAGUGGGGAAUAUUGGACAAUGGGCGCAAGCCUGAUCCAGCCAUGCCGCGUGGAUGAUGAAGGCCCUAGGGUUGCAAACUCCUUUCGGCGGGGAUGAUAAUGACGGUACCCGCAGAAGAAGCCCCGGCUAACUUCGUGCCAGCAGCCGCGGUAAUACGAAGGGGGCUAGCGUUGCUCGGAAUCACUGGGCGUAAAGCGCACGUAUGCGGCUUUUUAAGUCAGGGGUGAAAUCCUGGAGCUCAACUCCAGAACUGCCUUUGAUACUGAGAAGCUUGAGUCCGGGAGAGGUGAGUGGAACCGCGAGUGUAGAGGUGAAAUUCGUAGAUAUUCGCAAGAACACCAGUGGCGAAGGCGGCUCACUGGCCCGGUACUGACGCUGAGGUGCGAAAGCGUGGGAGCAAACAGGAUACAUACCCUGGUAGUCCACGCUGUAACGAUGGAUGCUAGCCGCUGUCGGGUUACUCGUCAGUGGCGCAGCUACGCAUGGGAUCUCGCCUGGGGAUACAGUCGCACGAUUAAACU